rnacentral:lncRNA from 1 species
CUGGAGUUCGGGAGUUGAGAUUGGAGGAUAUUCCAGUAGUCCAAGAGUUUUCAGAUGUAUUUCCAGAUGAACUUCCAGGGAUGCCACCUCAUAGAGAGAUUGAGUUCUCUAUUGAUUUAGUCCCUGGGACGGCUCCUAUAUCUAUAGCACCAUAUAGGAUGGCUCCAGCUGAAUUAAAGGAACUUAAGAUUCAACUGCAAGAAUUGGUGGAUAAAGAGUUUAUUAGACCUAGUGUAUCUCCGUGGGGAGCUCCGGUGUUGUUUGUUAAGAAAAAGGAUGGUACUCUUAGACUCUGCAUUGACUAUAGGCAGUUGAAUAAAGUUACAGUGCGUAAUAAAUAUCCACUUCCGCGCAUCGAUGACUUGUUUGAUCAACUUCAGGGAGCAAAGGUGUUUUCUAAGAUCGAUUUGCGCUCGGGAUAUCAUCAGCUUAGAAUUAAAGAGGCUGAUGUUCCUAAAACAGCAUUCAGAACUCGUUACGGACAUUAUGAGUUUUUGGUGAUGCCAUUUGGGUUGACUAAUGCCCCAGCAGCUUUUAUGGAUCUUAUGAAUAGGGUAUUCCACCCUUAUCUGGAUCGAUUUGUGAUUGUGUUUAUUGACGAUAUUUUAGUGUAUUCUCGGAGUCAGGAAGAUCAUGAGGAGCACUUGCGGACUGUUUUGCAGACUUUAAGACAAAAGCAAUUGUACGCUAAGUUCAGCAAGUGUGAGUUCUGGUUGGAUAAAGUAGUAUUUCUAGGCCAUGUGAUAUCAGCUGAAGGAAUUUAUGUUGAUCCUCAAAAGAUCGAAGCAGUUGUAAAUUGGGAACGGCCUACAAAUGUGACUGAAGUUCGAAGUUUCCUUGGAUUAGCUGGCUAUUAUCGGAGAUUUGUGGAAGGAUUCUCCAAGAUUGCUAUUCCUCUGACAAGGUUAACCAGAAAGAAUGCUAAGUUCCAGUGGAAUGAUGAUUGUGAAAAGAGUUUUCAAGAACUCAAGGCAUGUCUUACUUCAGCGCCAUAUAGGAUGGCUCCAGCUGAAUUAAAGGAACUUAAGAUUCAACUGCAAGAAUUAUUUGUUUACUCAGAAAGAGUUGAAUUUGAGACAGAGGAGAUGGAUUGAGCUGAUUAAAGACUAUGAUUGUACCAUUGAUUUUCAUCCGGGCAAAGCGAAUGUGGUAGUUGAUGCACUAAGCAGGAAGUCUUCUAGCUCUAUAGCUCACUUGCGAGGGACGUAUAUGCCGUUAUUGAUUGAGCUGAGAUCUUUGGGAGUUGAAUCGGAAGUUGAUAUGCCGUUAUUGAUUGAGCUGAGAUCUUUGGGAGUUGAAUUGGAAGUUGAUAAUUGCAGAGCUUUAAUAGCUAAUUUUCGAGUGAGGCCGACUUUGAUUGACAAAGUUCAUCAGAUGCAAGAUCAGGAUUUGCAGUUACUGAAGUUGAAAGAGGAUGUGCAAAAAGGCUUACGAACUGAUUUUGCGGUGAGAGAUGAUGGAGUUUUAGUUAUGGGUAAUCGACUUUGCGUACCCGACAUUAAGGAGUUGAAAAAGGAGAUCAUGGAAGAAGCUCAUUGUUCAGCUUAUGCUAUGCAUCCGGGUAGUACGAAGAUGUACCGUACCUUGAGAGAUCAUUACUGGUGGCAAGGUAUGAAGAGAGAGAUAGCCGAAUUUGUAUCUCGGUGUUUAGUUUGUCAGCAGAUUAAGGCUGAACAUCAGAGACCUGCAGGGUUUUCUCAGCCGCUUCCUAUCCCCGAGUGGAAAUGGGAGCACAUCACCAUGGAUUUUGUAACGGGACUUCCACGUACUCAGAGUGGUCAUGAUAGUGUAUGGGUAGUUGUUGAUCGACUUACCAAAUCUACUCACUUUUUACAAUUCAAGACCACUUAUUCGAUGGACAAGUUGGGGAAUAUUUUUGUGGCUGAGAUAGUUCGACUUCACGGAGCACCUGUGUCUAUUGUUUCAGAUAGAGAUUCCCGAUUUACUUCUAAGUUCUGGACAAGCUUGCCGAAGGCUUUAGGCACCAAGCUGAACUUCAGUACAGCUUUUCACCCACAGACUGAUGGUCAGUCAGAGCGUACUAUUCAAACCCUGGAGGAUAUGUUACGAGCUUGCAUUUUGGAGUUUAAGAGUAGUUGGGACAUUUAUUUACCCUUGAUGGAGUUUGCUUAUAAUAACAGUUAUCAAGCUAGCAUCGAGAUGGCACCUUAUGAGGCAUUGUAUGGAAGGAAAUGCAGAACUCCCGUAUGUUGGGAUGAGGUUGGAGAGCGGAAACUUUUUGGUCCCGAAUUGGUUCAAAAUACUAGUGAGAAGAUACAGCUUAUUCGGCAAAGAUUAAAGGCAGCCCAGAGCAGACAAAAGAGCUAUGCAGAUAAGCGUAGGCGGGAACUUGAGUUUGAAGUAGGUGAUAAGGUUUUCAUACGGAUAUCUCCUUGGAAAUGGGUACUUCGAUUUGGUAAGCGCGGGAAGUUGAGUCCACGUUACAUUGGACCAUAUGAGAUUGUGGAGCGUAUUGGUCCGUUGGCAUACCGAUUAGCUCUACCACCUGAGUUAUCCAGAAUCCACGAUGUCUUUCAUGUUUCGAUGCUUCGGAAGUAUGUGUAUGAUCCUAGUCAUGUGUUGUCGAGACAACCAAUUGAGUUGAAAGAAGACUUGAGUUAUGAAGAAGUGCCCGUGGAAAUUCUAGAACAGAAGCAUCAAGUUUUGCGGUCAAGAACCAUUCUGUUAAUAAAAGUGCUGUGGAGGAAUCACAAAAGAUAAGAAGCGACUUGGGAACGUGAAGACUUAAUGCGAGCAAAAUACCCUCACUUGUUCUCAACAGAUGUGUAAAUUUCGAGGACGAAAUUUUUAUAAGGGGGGAGGAUUGUAACAUAUGCACUUCGGAUUUCUUAAUUAAGAGUGCGAUUUAAUUUUUCCUCUUCGCUUAUGAUUUUUAAAUUCGUCACGACAAUUUAAUUUAUUGAAAUAAAUUGAGCGUGAUUACACGCGCCGAUGGUCGGAUUUUAUUUUCAGCACGGGUCCGAAUUGAGCUUAAUUUGUAUUAAGCUUAAAAAAAAAAAAGGGGUCGGAUUGUAUAAUUGGUGAAGGGGAACUGUUUUUGAAUUCAAAAACAAAGUGAGAGAACCCGUGAAAGAGAGAGAGAGAGAGAGAGAGAGGAAUUUUGACCCGUUGACCCGAAAACCCGACCCGGACCCGCGAUAUUGACCCAAACGGAUCUCCUAAUUCCGGCCACCUUACCGGUCGUGCUUGGUACCGAUCUGAAGCUUGGAAGCCGACCUUCGUAUCCCCGUGGUCCUCGUCGCCGAAAAUCGACCAGAACGCCGACGAUUUGAGCUCGAAAGUCGCGGCCAAGAUCCUUUUCCGUCGCCGUUGAUUCCGCCGGGUUUGUGACGCGCCACCACUUGGAACUGGUUCCUCACAUCUCCAGCAACAAUUUCUGACCAACCACGACCACCAGGGACGCCGGAAAAUCGUCGAACGACUACUGGAAAGUUUCAGAUUUUUUUGGAGCUUCGAUCCGCCGCCGGCAGCGUGCGUGGCGACUCACGGGCACCACCAUUGCACUCACCGAGGUCGGAACUAGCUGACCUAAGCUCCCCGUCAUCGUUGACUGAAGUCUGGUCACCGUUGACCGGCAGGGGCAAUUCGGUAAAUUCAUGAAACUUUGGGGUGAAUUUAUAAUUUUAUGUAAUUAGUGGACAUUUUGGUAAUUUUGAGUGAGGGCAAUGAAGUAAUUUAUGCUUUCGAGGGUAAUUCGGUAAUUUAAGACGUUAAGGACAUUUCGGACCUAAGCUCCCCGUCAUCGUUGACUGAAGUCCGGUCACCGUUGACCAGCAGGGGCAAUUCGAUAAAUUCAUGAAACUUUGGGGUGAAUUUGUAAUUUUAUGUAAUUAGUGGACAUUUUGGUAAUUUUGAGUGAGGGCAAUGAAGUAAUUUAUGCUUUCGAGGGUAAUUCGGUAAUUUAAGACGUUAAGGACAUUUCGAUAAUUUUAUGCCCCGAGGGUAAUUUCGUAAUUUUGGACAAUGUGAUUAAUUUAUGUAAUCUGAAUUGAGGACAAUAUGGUAAUUGACGAAUAUGAGGAUAAUUUGGUAAAAUAAUGAAGUUUGAGGAUAAGUUGGUAAAAUAUUGAUGUUGGGGGUAUUUUGGUAAUUUUGGCAUGUAGGGGCAUUUUGGUAAUUUUACUCAUGCGGGAAUAGUUUAUCGUUAAUAGAGAUUUGAUUCGAGAUUUAUUAUAUUAAAUUGGUUGUAUUUCUAUUUACGGAGAAUAAUUAUAGUGUUUCUGUGAUUAGGAGGAUCCGCAUCCGCGAACGAGAUACAUGACCAAACAAUCGAUGUUCUUUGUCGUUUGGAGGUAGUAGUAGGACCAGCAGUUGAAGAAGUAGAACCACUUUGACUUGCUUGAGAAGUAGGAGGCGAUCGUUCAGGUGGGACAAUAAAUAUAUUACUUGGAUCAAAUUCUGGUGCAGCAAUUUCUUCAUUUGCAACUUCCUCCCCCUCUUCAACAAAAUUAAAAUUCUCAUCUAACUCGAAAUGAGAGUGAGACAUUUUAUAUAAUUAGUGUUUUGGUAAAUAAAGGCGCUGGAAUUGUAGCAAAGAAGAUUGGGCAAGCAGAGACUAGAGAUGAGAUGACUGGUGAAAUAAGAGAGACAACGAGGAGAUAGAAAAUUAGAAAUUGAGAAGUGAGAAUGUGAGAUGAAUUCGAAAAGAAUUUAAUCGUUUAAAUAGAAUGAAAAAGUAAACAUAUUAACGGCUAGAAACGGGCAAAUAAAAAAGUAAACAUUUUAACGGUAAAAAACGGGCAAACACUCUGCAAACCUACAAAUCUACAACUGUAAAACUUCCUGAAACUCUGCAAGGCUGCAACAAAUUUUAUCAUUCAUUUGUCCGUUGGAAACUUGGAAUUGUAAGUGAGUAAUUGAUUUAAUUUAAAAUUUUUUAUCAUUAAAAAUUAAUUGUUGAGGGAUCUGUAUGACUCUAUGGUACCGAUUCUGCAAGACUGUAACAAACAUCUCCUGUCAUCCCAUUCCCACCAUUCGAUUGUCUAUUGUUUAGCUUCUCACUCCACAUCCAACGGCUGAUGUUGCAGUCUGUAGCUUACAAAUUCUGUAAGCCAGUCAAGUCUAAUUGUUGAGUCAUGAAUGCCCAUGCUGUGAAAGUGAAAUUUUUGUCAUUAAAAAUCAAAAAACAUUAAUUGAUAAUCAGAGCCCGACUGCUUAUACUGUAAAAUUGAGUAGUCAUAUCAAUUUUACUGUUAAUUCAAAAAAAAAUUUGUCCGUUGGGUGAGUAAUUUAAUUAAUUCAGAAUUUUUUUAAAUUCAAUUAAUUCAAAAAAAAUUUUAUCCGUUGGGUGAGUAAUAAAAUUCAUUUACAAUUUUUUAUUAUUUAAUAAUUAGAAAAAAACACUGAGUUUUAUACUCACCCCUCUUUUAUUAUUUUAUAUUUUUCCCCCCACAGGAGAGUUACAGGUACAUCAGUCAACCCAGUAGCGAACGUUAGUGUGAUAUUGUGGCCACGUGAUGGUGCUAGGAGUCGUGGAUUUUAAUUAGUAUUAUAUUUGGGAUUUUUGCGAGUUGUGUUAUUUUAUUAUUUUAUGUAAUCGAUGUAAUUUAAUAUUAGGAUGAUAUGGAUAUGUUGAUUUGAGAAGUUGGUUAUGGAGGAUGGUUGGAUAUUAAAUAAUUUUGGGAGUGUUGCUUUAUAAUUUGCAGGAUUGGAUAUGUUUUAUUUAUAAGGGAGACUCUGCCGAAAUUUUUAUAGAAUAGUUUCGAUUUUAUGAGUUUCGAUAGACUCGCCCUGGGGAGUUGCAGGGCGGGUCGUUUCAGUUGGUAUCAGAGCAUGGUUUUAGAUUCUAUAGACUUUACUGUCGUAAAUAGAAUAAGUUUUGAUUAUUAAAGUCGGAUUUAAUAUUUUGUAGGCACCAUCAUGAUUCGUCAUAGCAAUAGACGUGGCCGCGGACGUGGCCGUACUAGACUAGUAGCUGGGUUGACUCCAGGAGAUGUACCUGCUGGGGAAAAUGAUCCCGUUGACGAGGGAAUAGUUGAGUCUUCGACGCACGAGGUUGUGCAACAGGCACCAGGAGAUGCUCCGCCACCUGAGGCAGAGUCGUGGCUUAUCGAGGAUAGGGCUUAUCAUUGGUGGCAAACAGUAGAGCGAAGAUACCAAGGGCAUGCUGCGCUUACAUGGGCUAUUUUUUCGCAAGGAAUUCUACGAUCAUUAUUUUCUGGUUGUGUAUCAGGAUAUUAAACGGAGUGAAUUCCUUCGAUUGGUUCAAGGAGCUAUGUCAGUGGAAGAGUAUGAGAAGAAAUUUUUAGAUCUUAGAGUUCAGGCUCUGAAGCAGAAAUGUAGCCAGAGUUGGACAGAGGGUGGCUCGAGCAGCAGGCCGCCGAAGAAAGGCGCGUAUACAAAUUACUCUGCUGGUGUACAAAGGAAUCAGAGUAUGAGUUGCAGGGGAGAUCAGAGACAAUCCGCCAGUUACAGUUCGGCGCAGCCUUCAGUGGGGAGUAACGUUAGGACUCAGGGGCAGUAUGACAGGAAUAGCGGAGGACCCCGUAGGAGUAUACAACAGACUCCUUGCCUUACGUGUGGUAGGAACCAUCAGGGCCAAUGCCGUAUCGGAGACAAUGUGUGUUAUUUAUGUGGACAACCUGGUGUUAUGAAUUAUGAUUGAUUAUUGUGAAAUAAAAUAUAUAGUUGUGAAAUUGUGAUAAACUAAUAAUAAAAUGUUAAUUACUCUCUUAAUAAAAAUUAAUAUGAUUGUGAAUAUUAUUAUUAUUAUUAUUAUUAUUAUGUUGGUGGGUUUAAAAAAGCACGUUAGGCACAUGGGCUUGAAGAAAGCACGUUAGGCGAGGGUCAUUACUUGCUGAAAAGGUGUAUCGAGAUAGCAUGAUUCGAUUGGGCGAGCAUGAAUUUAAGGCGAAUUUGAUUAUUCUAGAUAUUCGAGAUUUCGAUGCUAUUUUGGGCACGGAUUGGCUUGCGUCUCACCAUGCUACAGUGGAUUGUUUUAAAAAAGAAGUUGUGUUCAACAAGCCAGGAGAAAUUGAGGUGAAAUUUUAUGGUGAGCGUAGAGUUUUACCCUCAUGUGUCAUAUCAGUCAUUGAUGCAAGACGCUUACUAAGAAAAGGUUGCUCGGCUUAUCUGGCAUACGUAAUAGUCACUGGAGUUCAGGAGUUGAGAUUGGAGGAUAUUCUAGUAGUCCAAGAGUUUUCAGAUGUAUUUCCAGAUGAACUUCCAGGGAUGCCACCUCAUAGAGAGAUUGAGUUCUCUAUUGAUUUAGUCCCUGGGACGGCUCCUAUAUCUAUAGCACCAUAUAGGAUGGCUCCAGCUGAAUUAAAGGAACUUAAGAUUCAACUGCAAGAAUUAUUUGUUUACUCAGAAAGAGUUGAAUUUGAGACAGAGGAGAUGGAUUGAGCUGAUUAAAGACUAUGAUUGUACCAUUGAUUUUCAUCCGGGCAAAGCGAAUGUGGUAGUUGAUGCGCUAAGCAGGAAGUCUU